GUGGAUGUGUCAUGCACACUUUGCAGCAUGUUUUGCUGGAAAUAAAAUGGUUUGGUAUUUUGUCAAUAUGAAUGACCUCGCAUCGAUGUGCUACUUCAUUUCUUACAGGCUGACUACACAGCAAAAUCAAUUUUGAAAUCUAUGUUAUUCGUGCGUCUGCGUUUACAAGGGCUAAAAUAUGAUUCAGUUCUAUUUCUGAUGCAGAUCGCGCUGCAAGUCCUGCCUCUCCCAUCUCCUCAUUGGUUUAUAGAAGCAGGUACCCACGUGCCAUCUCCUCAUUGGUUAUGCCCACGUGGGUGACUGAAAGACGAACGAAGUCAGUGGCGGUAAUGCACCUAAUUUAUGAAAGUUGCCAAUCGCAAUAUAAAGUCAAGAGAAGAAAAAGGCUGGAAGGAGGAGAGAUGACUAGAAACGAUUCGGUUGACCGUUAUAUGUGUGGAUUAAUUGCCGGAGUAGAGGACCUUGUGCAUUUCAGAUGCAUUCAAGAUGAAAGUUGUGCCACCAAUGAAAAAUGAAGAAGUAAGUAAACUUAGUUUGGUGUGACACAGAUAAAAAACAAUACUAUGUGAUGUGACAUGGAGCUGGUGGGUUGUAGGGGAAUAAAACUGCAAAGUGGAAAAGUCAAAGUGGACUCAGAGGCUAUGCAAAAAGAUAUGAAGCUGCAAGAAAACAAAACAACAUUUGAAACAUAACGCAAAGCCUUUCAAGAAUUGCAGGUAUGUACCACAGUACCAGUACAUGUUAAGGUAUAGGCCUAUAUUGAAAUGACAGAGUGAAAAUGCUACAGUCCUUUAAAAAAGUGUAUUAUUAUUGUUAUUGUAUUUUCCUUUAUCUUUCCGUUCGGAAAUGAAAGCCUCACUAUUAAACUAGAAGAUCAGAGCAGUGAGAAUGAUGAUCCGUUGAACAGGUAUGUAUUUGAUUACAACAUGAUACUUUCACUAUAGAUUGUAUGAUCAUUCUGCUUUUAUCUGGCGCGUUUAUUUCUCGAACAGAAACAAUGCAACAUGGAACAUAAGUCAUAUACUGAAAGAUACGUUUGAAAGAUCAGCGGAGAAAGUCCAUCUACAUAAGUAAAACAUGCCGUCUUGUCAGCCUGUGUACAUGCUAGUACCUAAAUGCAAAAUGAGGACAUGUUGUGGUCUACGUUGUCCUCAAACUAACCUAUGUUCUCUUAGAGAAAAAACCCAUCACAUGUUCAUGGACAGAAGAUCAAAUAUUUUUUGUCACAUGCGCCGAAUACAACUGGUGUAAACCUUACCGUGAAAUGCUUACUUACAAGCCCUUAGCCCUUAACCAACAAUGUCCGGGGGUACAGGUUAGUCGAGGUAGUAAUCGCUGUUCUGAUAUCCUGAAGCUCUUUUCGGUCUUAAGAGAAGGUAGCAGAAGCAUUAUGUACAAAAUAAGUUACAAACAAUGAGAAAAAACACACAUAAUAGCAUAAUCAGUUAGGAGCCGGUAAAACGGCAGCCAUCCCCUCCAGCAUCAUUAUCACAGUGAAAGUACUCAGGUGAAUAUUAAUAUUUCCUGUUCUUUUGAUUAUUUGUUAUCUACAUGAAUAAAUCACGUAUGGUUACAUGAUGCUAGUGAAAUGUGUUUUUUUAAUUAACUGUUAUAGAGGAUGAAUGCUGCCUUUAAGAGCCUACGUAUUCAAGCAGAAACUGACCGCCAUGAGAUGCUGAAAGAGCAACAUCAGGAAGCCCUACAAAGUUCCAAACAAGAACAAGAAUCCCUGUUAGAGUCUGCAAAGUGCCGAACAGCUCAAUAAAGACUUUGAAGAGAGAUUAAAGAAAAGAAAGACAGCCAGCUACAACUCCUUGAAGAUGAACUGAGGAAAAUACAAGAGAUUGAGGGGCAGUUAUCUGCUGCAAUGAGAAGAGAUGAAAAAUCCAUCAAGGAAAAAGAUAAUCUAAAGACAGACAUUGUACAACAUGAGGUGAAGUAUGAAGAGCUAUCAGCAAGUUUCAAUCAGCUGCAACUUGAGAACAAGACUAUGCUGGAGAAGAUGCAGAAUGAAUCCUCAGAGGCAACCCUUCUUGUAGCACGACUAAAAGAGAGGGAGGCAAAAGAUGAAGAUGAAGGAAAUUGAAAGACUCCAGGAGGAAAACCAUCAAUUAUGAGAGGAUUUGAAAUCCUAAAAUGACAAAGUUGAAGAGCAAGGUGAAGACACUGAGAAUCUGCAGAAGAAACUUGGAAAAAGUGUACAGGAGCUACAGCUUCGAGCUACAGAGGCCGUCAAGAGUAAGGAAGAUGCUGAAGUCAAAUGUCAGAACAAGACGCAGACAUGGUUGCCGUGACAGAAAGCACAAGGUUAAGUUCUCUGUUGGUAUCAGAACCACUAUGACAAAAUGGUUGAUGAGAAAGAUGCAGAGCUUGAUGAGAAGAAGAGGAAAGACAUGGAGGCAGCUGUUAAUAGAACAUCACUGAACAUGGAGAAUGGCCAUUUGAAGGAACAACUGGAGAAAGAAAUGAAGGAGAGGGAAAGCUGACUACAGGAGAUUACAGGCCUGGAAAAAGAGACGGCGUGUCAGAAAAUGAGCAGGCAACUGGAGACACAGGAUAAACAGGAAAUGGAAAGCGAAGCCCCAAGAACGCAAUCUUGGAGCUUUAUGACUACAGUUAGAGCAACAUCGCAAAUGAAGGAAAGCAAAGCUCUCAAAACUCCAUCUUGGCGUUCCCCCAGUACAGCUGGUGCAACACCACGGAUUAAGGUCACUAUUAGCCACUUCCACUGGUUUGCUUCAGCUUCACUCCUGUUUUAUACUAUCGUAAUGUUUCAGAUCCAGAGCCCUGUUGUUCAGAAAUCACUUGGGAGUGCUUUAAAGCUCGCUGCAAUGAAAAGGAUGCAGGAUGCUGGUUGGACAGCUGUCGCUGGUGCUGACAAGGAGAAGAAAAACAUCAAGUGCUUUUCAAAAUUGAUCGUUUUUUGUGUGUGUGACAAAUGUGGACAUUCAAUAUGCUCUUUUCAUUACACCACUGCUCUCAAGUUCAUCCAUGUCUAUAGUUGUCUGAUGCUGGGAAAUCUGUUGACCGAAAUAGACAUUUAAAAUGCAAGUCAAAACAAUUUGAAAUGACCCAGGUAUAUUAUCUUGUUUUGAUGUUACUGUUUAGCCACAUUACUCACUUUAUUAAUGGAAAAAAUGGAAAAUGCUUGUUUUGAACAGACUUGCCACCUUUGACUCCAUUCAACAUAAAUAAGUUCAAGUGUUUGUUCAUAACAUUGUUGUUUUUGCUUGUGCUGUUUUUAUGUUCCUACAUAUGACAUUUGUCAACAUUGUGUUAUUUACAGUGGUGUAAAGUACUUAAGUAAAAAUACGUUAAAGUACUACUAAAGUAGUUUUUUGGUAUCUGUACUUUACUUCACUAUUUAUAUUUUUGACAACUUUUACUCCACUACAUUCCUAAAGAAAACUAUGGACUUUUUACUGCAUACAUUUCGAAUGCUUAGCAGGACAUGAAAAUGGUGCAGUUCACGCACUUAUCAAGAGGUCAUCCCUACUG
rnacentral:lncRNA from 1 species